GUUGAAUGAAGCACUUCAGUCUGAUCCAGAGCGCUCUCUGGACUCCGUUGCCUGAGGGUUUUUGAGGGAUGGAAACACUUUGCAAAUGGAUAUAUAUUUUGCCGCACCGAGCAGCCCCAAUUCCCAGUAUUUUCAAAGAAUAAUGCAAUAAUACACGAUUGAAAGAUGGGAGACUUCUGCGCGGCCAGGUUACACGGCAGUUAAGUAAUACGGCAAUUAAUACGCGUUUGAAAGAUGGGAGACUUCUGUGCGGCCAGGUUGUAUGGCAGUUAAGUAAUACGACAGUCAAGGUCAUGAACAUCAUCCCCUUCGGCCACAGACUACUCAACUCUGAGAUGCUACAAACAUUAGUAUACCAAUCUUUAAGUUGUAAUAAUUGAGAAAGAAGUUGACGUUUGAUUUUUCACAAUGUGCCAGUUCUUGGGAAAAAAAAUGAAAUAAAAUGCAAAUUAAAUAAGUCAUAUACUAACUUGUGUUGCAACUUUCCAUUCCUAGUUUUUACAGCUGUAGUAACUUUAUAGUUUUAUGUUUUUAAUUUAUAUUUCUCCCAGUACAGUUUCAUGCACAUCCCUUUCUUUGACAACCAAAGUGUUGCAGUUCCUAAUGCAUGCUGAACAAUUCUGGUCCAGUUUGUAUCCCUCCACAUUUUUCAUCCAGAUACUGAACAAUUCCUUUUACUUAAAAUUUUAAAGCAUAUGCUGCCCUUUUAAAAUCCAAAAAUCUAGUUAAUGUAAAUAAAAGUAAA